rnacentral:rRNA from 1 species
UACGGGGGGAGCAAGCGUUGUUCGGAUUUACUGGGCGUAAAGGGCGCGUAGGCGGCCAGCACAAGUCAGUUGUGAAAUCUCCGAGCUUAACUCGGAAAGGUCAACUGAUACUGUGCGGCUAGAGUGCGGAAGGGGCAACUGGAAUUCUUGGUGUAGCGGUGAAAUGCGUAGAUAUCAAGAGGAACACCUGCGGCGAAGGCGGGUUGCUGGGGAUGAGCUGACGCUGAGACACGAAAGCCAGGGGAGCAAACGGG